rnacentral:tRNA from 2 species
UCUGUAGCUCAGCUGGAUAGAGCAACGGCCUUCUAAGCCGUGGGUCGGGGGUUCGAAUCCCUUCA